rnacentral:rRNA from 1 species
AGAGUUUGAUCCUGGCUCAGGAUGAACGCCCGUUGUGUGCCUAAUACAUGCAAGUCGUACGCACUGGCCCAACUGAUUGAUGGUGCUUGCACCUGAUUGACGUUGGAUCACCAGUGAGUGGCGGACGGGUGAGUAACACGUAGGUAACCUGCCCCGGAGCGGGGGAUAACAUUUGGAAACAGAUGCUAAUACCGCAUAACAACAAAAGCCACAUGGCUUUUGUUUGAAAGAUGGCUUUGGCUAUCACUCUGGGAUGGACCUGCGGUGCAUUAGCUAGUUGGUAAGGUAACGGCUUACCAAGGCGAUGAUGCAUGGCCGAGUUGAGAGACUGAUCGGCCACAAUGGAACUGAGACACGGUCCAUACUCCUACGGGAGGCAGCAGUAGGGAAUCUUCCACAAUGGGCGCAAGCCUGAUGGAGCAACACCGCGUGAGUGAAGAAGGGUUUCGGCUCGUAAAGCUCUGUUGUUGGAGAAGAACGUGCGUGAGAGUAACUGUUCACGCAGUGACGGUAUCCAACCAGAAAGUCACGGCUAACUACGUGCCAGCAGCCGCGGUAAUACGUAGGUGGCAAGCGUUAUCCGGAUUUAUUGGGCGUAAAGCGAGCGCAGGCGGUUGCUUAGGUCUGAUGUGAAAGCCUUCGGCUUAACCGAAGAAGUGCAUCGGAAACCGGGCGACUUGAGUGCAGAAGAGGACAGUGGAACUCCAUGUGUAGCGGUGGAAUGCGUAGAUAUAUGGAAGAACACCAGUGGCGAAGGCGGCUGUCUGGUUUGCAACUGACGCUGAGGCUCGAAAGCAUGGGUAGCGAACAGGAUUAGAUACCCUGGUAGUCCAUGCCGUAAACGAUGAGUGCUAGGGUGUUGGAGGGUUUCCGCCCUUUCAUUGCCGGGAACCUAACGCAUUAAGCACUCCGCCUGGGGAGUACGACCGCAAGGUUGAAACUCAAAGGAAUGAUCGGGGGCCCGCACAAGCGGUGGAGCAUGUGGUUUAAUUCGAAGCUACGCGAAGAACCUUACCAGGUCUUGACAUCUUGCGCUAACCUUAGAGAUAAGGCGUUCCCUUCGGGGACGCAAUGACAGGUGGUGCAUGGUCGUCGUCAGCUCGUGUCGUGAGAUGUUGGGUUAAGUCCCGCAACGAGCGCAACCCUUGUUACUAGUUGCCAGCAUUAAGUUGGGCACUCUAGUGAGACUGCCGGUGACAAACCGGAGGAAGGUGGGGACGACGUCAGAUCAUCAUGCCCCUUAUGACCUGGGCUACACACGUGCUACAAUGGACGGUACAACGAGUCGCAAGCUCGCGAGAGUAAGCUAAUCUCUUAAAGCCGUUCUCAGUUCGGACUGUAGGCUGCAACUCGCCUACACGAAGUCGGAAUCGCUAGUAAUCGCGGAUCAGCAUGCCGCGGUGAAUACGUUCCCGGGCCUUGUACUCACCGCCCGUCA